UACGUAGGGUCUGAGCGUUAAUCGGAAUUACUGGGCGUAAAGCGUGCGCAGGCGGUUUUGUAAGCCAGAUGUGAAAGCCCCGGGCUCAACCUGGGAACUGCAUUUGGGACUGCAAAGCUGGAGUACGGCAGAGGGAGGUGGAAUUCCACGUGUAGCAGUGAAAUGCGUAGAGAUGUGGAGGAACACCGAUGGCGAAGGCAGCCUCCUGGGCUAGUACUGACGCUCAUGCACGAAAGCGUGGGGAGCAAACAGG
rnacentral:rRNA from 1 species